AUCUCUUUCUUCUUCUUCUUCUGUUUCUUUUUUUUUUAUCAAUGAGUUGAAGGUUGAUAAGUUAGCAUUGAUUAGGGAGACUUAACCUUCCUUGACUCAAAUCUAAUUCAUCUUGAUCAAUUGACCAAGUGAAUGGCUUUGCAUUAAGGAUAGGUUGUUUCCUAAAUUAUGCAAAAUACUUAAACCAAUACAAGAUCAAUUCUCUUCUUCUUUUUGGCAUGGCAAGUUGUUGGAACUUGGUUCACUAAUCAAGACUUCUAACUUGUGUUGUUGCCUACAUUAUUAUUGACCGACCUCAGAUAGUACUCUUCUUCUUUUUGGCAUGGCAAGUUGUUGGAACUUGGUUCACUAAUCAAGACUUCUAACUUGUGUUGUUGCCUACAUUAUUAUUGACCGA
rnacentral:lncRNA from 1 species